rnacentral:misc_RNA from 1 species
UGAGAAGCAUCUGUAACAGGGAUGAAAUAGUCGGCUAGGCGUCUCGGUAAUCAAAGAACAGUAGCGCGCUAAAUUUAGAGACUCCAAGGGAGAAAUUGAUCGACCUCAACGCAAUUGAGUCAGUUAACACCGCUUGCAACCACGUUCUUCGCAGUUACGGAAAAUUGUUUCUUUGUUGUCCUCUACGCCAACCACACGCUAUGAUGGAUACUGAACUCAAGGGUUUAAUGACUAAACGUGACGUGGUAAAGGCAUCGUUAACUCGUUUCGAGAGAUUCUUUAGUGAGUCGGCACAGUCAAUAGAAGCCGUAUAAUUGGACGUCGCGUCGUCUGCUUCGUCCAGCAAUGUAUUUAUCCAGAAGUUUUAAUUGUAUGCAGUUUUAAUUACGCCUCGAUGAAUGAAAUCGUUCCAUCGCUAUCUUCCACGAAUCGGCUAACAAGGGGCAUUACUCGAAUAUAACGCAUCGAUUUUGAUGAAAUUUUAUAGAUGCAUAAUAUGGCUAAUAAUCCAC